rnacentral:ncRNA from 2 species
AGUGGUGAUAGAGGUGCGAAGAUCAAGAGUAUUCUCUUCUUGAAAGGAUGAGCUUUCCAAAAGAAGAAGUAAGAAAGGGUGAUUCGCCGAAGUAUAUUUGUUCUCAUAAACAAAUGUACUGGUUGUGCAUUUAAUAGAUGUACGACUGUCAAGAUGUUGAUCUUGGAGAGCUAUCUCACGC